rnacentral:rRNA from 1 species
UACGAAGGGGGCUAGCGUUGCUCGGAAUGACUGGGCGUAAAGGGCGCGUAGGCGGCGCAGACAGUCAGAUGUGAAAUUCCUGGGCUUAACCUGGGGGCUGCAUUUGAUACGGGUGUGCUUGAGUGGGGAAGAGGUGUGUGGAACUCCGAGUGUAGAGGUGAAAUUCGUAGAUAUUCGGAAGAACACCAGUGGCGAAGGCGACACACUGGCUCACUACUGACGCUGAGGCGCGAAAGCGUGGGGAGCAAACAGG